rnacentral:rRNA from 1 species
GGAUUAGAUACCCUGGUAGUCCACGCCGUAAACGGUGGGUACUAGGUGUGGGGGACAUUCCACGUUCUCCGUGCCGCAGCUAACGCAUUAAGUACCCCGCCUGGGGAGUACGGCCGCAAGGCUAAAACUCAAAGGAAUUGACGGGUCCCCGCACAAGCGGCGGAGCAUGCGGAUUAAUUCGAUGCAACGCGAAGAACCUUACCUGGGUUUGACAUAUACCGGAAACAUCUAGAGAUAGGUGCCCCUUUUUGGUCGGUAUACAGGUGGUGCAUGGCUGUCGUCAGCUCGUGCCG